GAUCACCGCUCGUAUAUAUCCAUCGGCUCCCAACCCAUAUUCGCCCUCGCCUCACGCACACGCCCCUCUCCCAGCGCUCUCCACACCCAUCUUUGUUUUCUCCCUCCCCGCGCCCCCCUCGCAGCCACCAGCCAGCCAUGUCCUGCGGUGACGCCAAGAUCAACUGUCCCGCGCCGCCCUUCGAGGAGGUGGCGCUCAUGCCCAACGGCAGCUUCAAGAAGAUCAGCCUCGCCGCCUACAAGGGCAAGUGGGUCGUGCUCUUCUUCUACCCGCUCGACUUCACCUUCGUGUGCCCGACAGAGAUCAUCGCGUUCUCCGAAAACGUGAGUCGCUUCAACGAGCUCAACUGCGAGGUCCUCGCGUGCUCCAUGGACAGCGAGUACGCGCACCUGCAGUGGACGCUGCAGGACCGCAAGAAGGGCGGCCUCGGCGCCAUGGCGAUUCCAAUGCUGGCCGACAAGACCAAGAGCAUCGCUCGUGCCUACGGCGUGCUGGAGGAGAAACAGGGCGUGGCCUACCGCGGUCUCUUCAUCAUCGACCCCAAUGGCAUGGUGCGCCAGAUCACCGUCAACGACAUGCCGGUGGGCCGCAACGUGGAGGAGGUUCUGCGCCUGCUGGAGGCUUUUCAGUUCGUGGAGAAGCACGGCGAGGUGUGCCCCGCGAACUGGAAGAAGGGCGCCCCCACGAUGAAGCCGGAGCCGAAGGCGUCUGUCGAGGGGUACUUCAGCAAGCUGUGAGGCGCGGUGCUUGCUGCCCCGCCGUGCGCACCUGGCUCGACCACUGGUCGCAUCCACGGGUGCGUGUCAUUUUUCUAUUGGCGGGCAAGUGCCCGAACGGGCUCUCCGUGUCCUCGGCUCCCCCUCCCCCCUCCCCCCUAUCGGAACGACAGCGGUGCCAUGCCACUGUGGCCUCCGUCCCCGACCCCGUCGGCCACCGCCCACCCCCUCCCUGUAUGUGGGUGCGCUACGCUCGCAGUCGCGUGUUGCUUCGUGGCGUUUUAGUUUUGUUGUCUUGCACGUGUGCGUCUCCGCGGGGCGGUUUUUGGUCUUCGACUUUGAUCUCUUCUCCGUCAUGGCGCUCGGUGAGGCGCGCGCGCACACACACAAGCAUGUGUUGUGGAGACUAGAAAGGCAUCGACUGUGGUGCUCGGGUACGGGAUGUAGAUGGUCAUGAAGACUGGGCUGAGGGGGACCACAGAGGAGCGCAUGUGGAAAGGGAGAAAGGGCCGCUGUCUUGGAUGGGGAAGUUUCCCUUAAUGUAUUUCACCCUGCCCUGUCCUUCCCGUCACCCAGCGCCAUCCACCUCACCUUGCGCCUCCCUCCCUCUCGCACCUACUUCUCACGAUGCAGCAUGUUUGCAUAUGCCGAGGCCAAGGAUGGCCGUGUGUUAGCGUGUCUGCGUCUCUCUGCGGAGCUCGUGUGCGUGUGUUUGUGCAGCCUUCCUAGUGGAUUGCCACCGAAGUUCUUCCUGUUGUUGUGUGUUCUUUUAUUUUCAGGAGUGGUGCGUCCCGCUGUGGCGCUGGAAAC
rnacentral:misc_RNA from 1 species